CACAAUAAACAUAUGAAGGCUGCACCGCCAACAGGCGGCAAGGCUGGAGUAUUUUAUUACCCUUGUCUUUUGCACACUUGUUGUUUCCUGGGCGGGUUCGCCCGCCUCCAGGACCACAUGAUAAACCUUUUUUAUGCAGUUGCAAUCAGCGUCAGUACAACAAAUGUAAAUCAUUUA
rnacentral:misc_RNA from 1 species